rnacentral:rRNA from 1 species
UGCAGUCGAGCGGUAAGGCCCUUCGGGGUACACGAGCGGCGAACGGGUGAGUAACACGUGGGUGAUCUGCCUCGCACUCUGGGAUAAGCCUGGGAAACUGGGUCUAAUACCGGAUAUGAACAUGGUCUGCAUGGACUGUGUUGGAAAGGUUUACUGGUGCGAGAUGGGCCCGCGGCCUAUCAGCUUGUUGGUGGGGUAACGGCCUACCAAGGCGACGACGGGUAGCCGACCUGAGAGGGUGACCGGCCACACUGGGACUGAGACACGGCCCAGACUCCUACGGGAGGCAGCAGUGGGGAAUAUUGCACAAUGGGCGAAAGCCUGAUGCAGCGACGCCGCGUGGGGGAUGACGGCCUUCGGGUUGUAAACCCCUUUCGACAGGGACGAAGCGCAAGUGACGGUACCUGUAGAAGAAGCACCGGCCAACUACGUGCCAGCAGCCGCGGUAAUACGUAGGGUGCGAGCGUUGUCCGGAAUUACUGGGCGUAAAGAGCUUGUAGGCGGUCUGUCACGUCGAUUGUGAAAACUUGGGGCUCAACUCCAAGCUUGCAGUCGAUACGGGCAGACUAGAGUACUUCAGGGGAGACUGGAAUUCCUG